UAAUACAUGCAAGUUGAGCGAUGAAGAUUGGUGCUUGCACCAAUUUGAAGAGCAGCGAACGGGUGAGUAACGCGUGGGGAAUCUGCCUUUGAGCGGGGGACAACAUUUGGAAACGAAUGCUAAUACCGCAUAACAACUUUAAACAUAAGUUUUAAGUUUGAAAGAUGCAAUUGCAUCACUCAAAGAUGAUCCCGCGUUGUAUUAGCUAGUUGGUGAGGUAAAGGCUCACCAAGGCGAUGAUACAUAGCCGACCUGAGAGGGUGAUCGGCCACAUUGGGACUGAGACACGGCCCAAACUCCUACGGGAGGCAGCAGUAGGGAAUCUUCGGCAAUGGACGAAAGUCUGACCGAGCAACGCCGCGUGAGUGAAGAAGGUUUUCGGAUCGUAAAACUCUGUUGGUAGAGAAGAACGUUGGUGAGAGUGGAAAGCUCAUCAAGUGACGGUAACUACCCAGAAAGGGACGGCUAACUACGUGCCAGCAGCCGCGGUAAUACGUAGGUCCCGAGCGUUGUCCGGAUUUAUUGGGCGUAAAGCGAGCGCAGGUGGUUUAUUAAGUCUGGUGUAAAAGGCAGUGGCUCAACCAUUGUAUGCAUUGGAAACUGGUAGACUUGAGUGCAGGAGAGGAGAGUGGAAUUCCAUGUGUAGCGGUGAAAUGCGUAGAUAUAUGGAGGAACACCGGUGGCGAAAGCGGCUCUCUGGCCUGUAACUGACACUGAGGCUCGAAAGCGUG
rnacentral:rRNA from 1 species